rnacentral:pre_miRNA from 1 species
AAUUUUUUGAAUCCAUGCAGAGAUUUCAUCAGACACUAACCUAUUAGGGUUGAUCAAACUUCCAAGAUAAGUGAAGUU